rnacentral:rRNA from 1 species
GUGGGGAAUAUUGGGCAAUGGGCGGAAGCCUGACCCAGCGACGCCGCGUGGGGGAAGAAGUCUUUCGGGAUGUAAACCCUUGUUGUACGGGACGAAGGAAGUGACGGUACCGUACGAGGAAGCCCCGGCAAACUACGUGCCAGCAGCCGCGGUAAUACGUAGGGGGCGAGCGUUGUCCGGAAUCACUGGGCGUAAAGCGCACGUAGGCGGGCUGUCAAGUCGGCCGUGAAAGGCACGGGCUCAACCUGUGCAUGUCGGUCGAUACUGGCGGUCUGGAGUAUGGGAGAGGGAACUGGAAUUCCCGGUGUAGCGGUGAAAUGCGUAGAGAUCGGGAGGAACACCAGUGGCGAAGGCGGGUUCCUGGCCCAUGACUGACGCUGAGGUGCGAAAGCCGGGGGAGCGAACGGGAUUAGAUACCCUGGUAGUCC